CAGUAGCCGCGGUAAUACGAAGGGGGCUAGCGUUGCCCGGAAUUACUGGGCGUAAAGGGAGCGUAGGCGGGUCGUUUAGUCAGAGGUGAAAUCCCGGGGCUCAACCUCGGAACUGCCUUUGAUACUGGCGACCUUGAGUAUGGGAGAGGUAAGCGGAACUCCGAGUGUAGAGGUGAAAUUCGUAGAUAUUCGGAAGAACACCAGUGGCGAAGGCGGCUUACUGGCCCAUUACUGACGCUGAGGCUCGAAAGCGUGGGGAGCAGACAGGAUUAGAUACCCGAGUAGUCCCUGUCUCUUAUAC
rnacentral:rRNA from 1 species